CCUACGGGUGGCAGCAGUGAGGAAUAUUGGUCAAUGGUCGGGAGACUGAACCAGCCAAGCCGCGUGAGGGAUGAAGGUACAGAGUAUCGUAAACCUCUUUUGUCAGGGAACAAAGGCGGGGACGUGUCCCCGGAUGAGUGUACCUGAAGAAAAAGCAGCGGCAAAUUCCGUGCCAGCAGCGGGGGUAAUACGGAGGAUGCGAGCGUUAUCCGGAUUUAUGGGGUGAAAAGGGAGCGCUGGCGGCCGGUUAAGGUAGCGGACAAAGCCCGGGGCGCACCCCCGGCCCGCCGUUGAUACUGGCAGUCUCGAGUUGGAGUGAAGUAUGCGGAAUGCGCGGUGUAGCGGUGAAAUGCAUAGAUAGCGCGCAGAACUCCGAUUGCGAAGGCAGCAUGCCGGCUCCACUCUGACGCUGAGGCACGAAAGCGUGGGUAUCGAACAGGAUUAGAUACCCCAGUAGUC
rnacentral:rRNA from 1 species